rnacentral:tRNA from 1 species
UAGAAAGUGGUGUAGUGGAAACACCUAGAGUUUUGAUCUCUAAUAUAUAGGUUCGAGUCCUUUCUUUCUAG